UAUAAUUUUUAUAUUUUUUAAAUUUUUUAUUUUUUUAAAAUAUUUUUUAAAUGGUUCUUUCAUGCAUUUUCAAGGUGACACAUUACAUACAACUAGCAUCACAGGCCAUAUAUUGUAGGAAGUACUCAAAUUGCUAAAGGGGUUAAAUCCAUCUGUCGCUAAACCAAGUCAUAUGUGGGUCACUCGCAAAGUAUGGAUGCUUUGCAUCGAAAUCUUUCCAUACUAUGGGG
rnacentral:lncRNA from 1 species